rnacentral:misc_RNA from 1 species
UCCUCUUUACAGAGGCAGUUUGUUCCGAGUUCCCGGCAUUACCCGCUGGCAACAGAACAUGAGGGUUGCGCUCGUUGCGGGACUUAACCCAACAUUUCACAACACGAGCUGACGACAGCCAUGCACCACCUGUGGAUCACCCUCGAAGGCGACUCCGUUUCGGGAGCUUGCAGAUCCAUGUCAAACCCUGGUAAGGUUCUUCGCGUUGCAUCGAAUUAAGCCAUAUGCUCCACCGCUUGUGCGGGCCCCCGCCAAUUCCUUUGAGUUUCAACCUUGCGGCCGUAGUUCCCAGGCGGUUCACUUAAUGCGUUAGCUGCGGCACCGAGGCAAAGCCCCGACACCUAGUGAACAUCGUUUAUGGCUAUGACUAC